UACGUUCCCGGGCCUUGUACACACCGCCCGUCACGUCACGAAAGUCGGCAACGACCCGAAGCCGGUGGCCUAACCGUAAGGGAGGGAGCCGUCGAAGGUGGGGCGUAGGCGAUUGGGACG
rnacentral:rRNA from 1 species